AGCUUUUCUAGCCUACUUCAUUUUGUCAGUCGGGUUCUAUUUAAAUGAUCGGUGAUACCCUUAAAUGUUCGUUAAAUGUGGUUAUGUAUAUUUCCUUAUUUUGGUUGGUUCGGCAUUACUUAUGUAGAAAAUAAACUGAACUGUUGUGAGUUUCCCAGCGGAAUGACAUUAAUGGUGGUGUAAUGCUAAAUAUUGCCACUGGGGGCAGCACGCCGGUGUCGUCUCCCCUCAGACUGUCAGAGAAGAAGCAGGAAGCGCACUACUUGUUGCUGAUCUCAUCAUUUUCCCAGCUUUUUACAGGACCUGGAGUCAGACAGCUUUUCCUUCCACCUGGUCCGAAGGAGCGACUGGACUAAUUCUGCAGAACCUGGACUCAAUCCGGCGCUUUAAUCCGAUUUGCAUGUUGAUUCUGGGUUGAGCAUCAACAGGACGCAGCUUUCAGAGCCGCGCUCACCUGGACGCCAUCACAUCAGCCACUGCAUGCCGAGAGAUUUAUUUGUGCCCGUGUGGUCCAGAGGCCCGCCCACUGAGGGUUGGCAUGGCGACAUACAUCACGCUGUGACCUCAUAUCCUGUCUGAAGGCAGACGACGGCUGCAGGACGUUUCAGAGUCUGGUCGGGUUUCUGCGGCUGAAGCAGCUGGAAGAUUCUGAUCUGGAGCUUCAUGGCUGACGGACGAAACUAAACAUGAUUUAAUAUUUAAUAGCUAACGAGUGAACAAACACGCAGACAGAAACAUUACUGAUUAUAUUUAGAAAAAAGGCAAAGCAGGAUGGAUUCUGGGAAAAUAUUUCAUUUCUCCUCAAAGACUUUCCUUGAUGGCUGUUGGUAUUUAUUUUCCUCAUUCCAGCCUCUCUGCAUCCACAGAUCAGGGCUGCUGUGCAGCUGAAGGUCUGGUUGGGCAAAGACUGCCAAUUAAUAAAUGUCAGCAGUAAUUAUUAACAAAAUUAGUAAUUAUAUCAAAGUUACCAAGUCAGGGCACCGCCUGAUUACUGGGAAAUAAAUAGUUUUCAUUCUCAGUGUGUGCUUAUGAAUAUCUGCCUGAUGAAGUUUAGAUA